UUGAAAGGGAAACGAUUGAAGUCAGUCGUUCCUUCGGGUAAUCAGCCUUUUGGGUGUGAUUUUGUGGAGCGUGAGGAGUUAAACGCCUUCAUGCCUGCAUAUUCGUGCACUUUAGGUGUACUUGCCCGUAUGGUUGGUUAACAUCAAUUUUGGUGGUCAUAAAAUGACUGGAGGAAUGUAGCUUCGAUCUUGUAUUGAAGUGUUAUAGCCUUCGGUAGAUGUGAUGAUCGAGAUUGAGGAUUGCAACGGAUACCUUCGGGGCUACCUGUCUGGUCUCUGAUCGUUGCUCUGGUGCCGAAAGCUUGCUUACGGUUAUCAAAGUCGAUGGUCAAUAGGUUAGAACGGGUUAAAUUCGUUAAGGAUGUUGACGUA
rnacentral:rRNA from 1 species